rfam:Salmo salar isolate Sally breed double haploid chromosome ssa09, whole genome shotgun sequence.
UCCCGUGUGGCUCAGUUUGUAGAGCAUGGUGUUUGCAAUGCCAGGGUUGUGGGUUUGAUUCCCAUGGGGGGAC